rnacentral:rRNA from 1 species
ACUCAAAGGAAUUGACGGGGGCCCGCACAAGCAGCGGAGCGUGUGGUUUAAUUCGAUGCAACGCGAAGAACCUUACCUGGGUUAAAUUUGCCAGGACCGCCUCGGAAACGGGGUUUCCCUUCGGGGCCUGGUGGACGGUGCUGCACGGCUGUCGUCAGCUCGUGCCGUGAGGUGUUGGGUUAAGUCCCGCAACGAGCGCAACCCCUGGUGCCAGUUGGACUUUUCUGGCGCGACUGCCCGGAGCAACCGGGAGGAAGGCGGGGAUGACGUCAAGUCAGCGUGGCCCUAACGUCCAGGGCGACACACACGCUACAAUGGCCGGUACAGCGGGUCGCGACCGUGCGAGCGGAAGCUAAUCCCUGAAAGCCGGCCUCAGUUCAGAUUGCAGGCUGAAACUCGCCUGCAUGAAGGCGGAGUUGCUAGUAACCGCGGGUCAGCACACCGCGGUGAAUACGUUCCCGGGCCUUGUACACACCGCCCGU